GCUACUGCCAUCAGAGUUCGAUUAGGCCAUGUUAGUCGAGGGUACCUCUUCUUCUUCGGAGGAUGAGGUAACCCGGCGGACGGCUCAGUAACACGUGGAUAACUUGCCCUUGGGUCUGGGAUAACCCCUGGGAAACUGGGGCUAAUACCGGAUAGAGCAUCGAUCGCUGGAAUGCAUGAUGCUCGAAAACUACGGUGCCCAAGGAUAGGUCUGCGGCUGAUUAGGUUGUUGUUGAUGUAAUGGACCAACAAGCCUACGAUCGGUACGGGUUGUGAGAGCAAUAGCCCGGAGAUGGGUUCUGAGAAAAGAACCCAGGUCCUACGGGACGCAUCAGGCGCGAAAACUUUACAAUGUGCGGAAGCACGAUAAGGGAACUCUGAGUGCCCCCUAAGGGGGCUGUUCUAGUGUCUAAAAAGCAAUAGAAGUAAGGGCUGGGCAAGACCGGUGCCAGCCGCCGCGGUAACACCGGCAGCCCAAGUGGUAGCCACGUUUAUUGGGUCUAAAGCGUUCGUAGCCGGCUUGGUAAGUUCCUUGGUAAAUUUAGCCGCUUAACGGUUAAGCUUUCAGGGAAUACUGCUUGGCUUGGGACUGGGAGAGGUCAGAGGUACUCCAGGGGUAGGGGUGAAAUCCAUUAAUCCUUGGGGGACCACCGGUAGCGAAGGCGUCUGACCAGACCAGCUCCGACGGUGAGGGACGAAGGCUAGGGACGCGAACCGGAUUAGAUACCCGGGUAGUCCUAGCUGUAAACGAUGCGGGCUAGGUGUUGGCAUUACUGCGAGUGGUGCCAGUGCCGAAGGGAAGCCGUUAAGCUCGCCAUCUGGGGAGUACGGUCGCAAGGCUUAAACUUAAAGGAAUUGGCGGGGGAGCACCACAACGGGUGGAGCCUGCGGUUCAAUUGGAUCAACGCCGGA
rnacentral:rRNA from 1 species